rnacentral:rRNA from 1 species
UGGCGGACGGGUGAGUAACGCGUGGGUAACCUGCCUCAUACAGGGGGAUAACAGUUAGAAAUGACUGCUAAUACCGCAUAAGACCACAGCACCGCAUGGUGCAGGGGUAAAAACUCCGGUGGUAUGGGAUGGACCCGCGUCUGAUUAGGUAGUUGGUGGGGUAACGGCCUACCAAGCCGACGAUCAGUAGCCGACCUGAGAGGGUGACCGGCCACAUUGGGACUGAGACACGGCCCAA